AAUUAUCCAUCAGACUGGUGAAUGGGACCAGUUCCUGCUCUGGGAUAGUGGAAUCCUUUUAUGAAGGAGAGUAGUUAGGUCUAUGUCCUCGAAGGUGAAAAAUGACCAAAGCUAAAGUUGUGUGUAGAGAACUGGGCUGUGUGAAUACUAUAGCUGCAUCUAGAGGACCUCCGGUUGUAGAGAGAAGAGGAGGAGUCAAAAUUUUGGGUUGCAGGGGAGAAGAGUCUUCUCUUAGAGCGUGUGACAUCAGAGGAGGACCUGGUGUCUGUGAUGGUAGAUAUUAUGGUCAUGUGAUCUGUUCAGCUGAGUUAUCCGUCAAGAUGGGUGAAUGGGACCAGUUCCUGCUCUGGGACAGUGGAAGACUUUUAUGAAGGAGAGUGGUAAAGGUCUAUGUUUUUGGUGGUUGUGGGGCAUGAGGCUAGCUGAGAUUGUGUGUAGAGAGGUGGGCUGUGGGAAUGAAGUAGCUAUAGGACAUCUGUUUGAGAAGGAUAAAGUAGUUGUCGGACUGAGUUGUAGGGGAGACGAGUCUUCUCUGGAACAGUGUCGCAUUUUUGAAGGAGGACCUGGUGCCUGUGAGAGUUUUUAUGAACGUCAUGUGAUCUGUUCAGAGUCUGUGCGGCUUGUGGAUGGAGCUGGGUUCUGCUCCAGAAGAGUGGAGGUGAAGUGAAGUCAGUCCUGGGCCUCAGUGUGCGAAGCUGACUUUGACCGGCAGGAUGCAGAGGUAGUCUGCGGGGAGCUUGGCUGUGGGGCUCCUGCAGCUCUACAGCGGGGGCUCUAUGGAGAAGGGCAGGGUCAGACCUGGGAUAAAGAGUUCCAGUGUAAAGGCAAUGAGUCCCUUCUCCUGGACUGUGACACCUCAGACAGAAAAAAUAACAACUACCUAUCUGGUAAUGCUGUUGGACUCACCAGCUCAGAGGUUGAUUAUGUGAGGCUGGUGGAAGGAGGUAGUCGCUGUGCUGGUGGAGUGGAGGACUGUGGGAACUGAUGACUGGGAGGAUGUGG